rnacentral:lncRNA from 10 species
UAGAAACCAGCUCUGAGUUAGGACCCCGCCCCCAUGUGAGGGUGAUACCGGCCUUGGGGUCAGCCAGGGCCCCCAUGUGGGUUCAGAGUUCUGUGGAGCCUUUCACCUGGAGAGUUUACAUUGUGUUGGCCUAGAAGGUGGCAGUUGAAGUCACAGAAAUGGAAAAGGUUGUGCAGGGACUGGGAGGUGUAAGGAGAGAAAGGGAUAGAAAAGAAGGUCAGAGCAGCUCCAGCAGGGCUGUGUCCACAAAGAAAGUUCUAGAAGGCCGUACUUAACAGCACAGAGAAAGGACAUCAUAAGACACCUACAUAUGUCCCCAGCUCUGCCACAAGGAGGUCAGAGGAUGCUAUAAAGGGCCAUUUUCAGGUGCCCCCAAGUUGAGGUUGCCCUUGGUGGCUCUGGCCAGGGGCAUGGUGGGAGCUGUGAGCUCGGAGCCCUGUGUCACUGCUGGGAGGCUGGGAAAGGCUGACAAACUGGACCCUUCCUCUGCCCUGCUUUUUUCUUAGACGCAUCAUUUGUCCGUCCCUUCACUCUGGCUCAUGGGAACCUCAUCAGAUACAAAUGUGGCAGGGGUGGGGUGUGGGUGGACAGGACCCCCAUCUGGAAGAAAUCAGAAAUGGUCAAGCUGAUGCCUGGGGGUUGGAAGCCAGUGCACACUAGGGUCAGGCCAGACAUGGGGUGAGCGUGAGCCCCAUGCUCACGGGGAGGAAGGACGUGCCAGGGAGCGCCGGCGUGACAUGGAGUCAUGGUAGCCUUGAAAGCAGAGGCAGCGCUGUCGCCGGUAGGAGCAGGGGUCCCAGGAGCCCGCCUGGAUGGCAGCUUCAAGUCAAUGCUCCGCUGAGACCUUAGCUCAGCUCUGCCGGGCUGGGAGUUGAGGGAUGGAGUCACACUGUUUUUGCUCCAGGAACUGCUCAAGAUGUCACUUAUUUUAGGUGCUAGAACUAGAUGGGGUGGCCCUGGCUGCAGGUCUCCUGGUUUGCAUUUCAUCUGUGUGUCUUGGGUUGGAAGGGUGCUUUUU